rnacentral:rRNA from 1 species
UAGGUAAUCUUCCGCAAUGGGCGAAAGCCUGACGGAGCAACGCCGCGUGAGUGAUGAAGGUCUUCGGAUCGUAAAACUCUGUUAUUAGGGAAGAACAAAUGUGUAAGUAACUAUGCACGUCUUGACGGUACCUAAUCAGAAAGCCACGGCUAACUACGUGCCAGCAGCCGCGGUAAUACGUAGGUGGCAAGCGUUAUCCGGAAUUAUUGGGCGUAAAGCGCGCGUAGGCGGUUUUUUAAGUCUGAAGUGAAAGCCGACGGCUCAACCGUGGGGGGUCAUUGGAAGAUGGAAAACUUGAGGACAGAAGAGGAAAGUGGAAUUCCAUGUGUAGCAGUGAAAUACGCAGAGAUAUGGCGGAACACCAGUGGCGAAGGCGACGUUCUGGUCUGUAACUGACGCUGAUGAGCGAAAGAGUGGGGAUCAAACAGG